GAGGGUAUAGCUCAAGUGACUGAGCACAUGCUUAGCAUGCAGGAGGUCCUGGGUUCAAUCCCCAGUACCUCCU
rfam:Camelus ferus unplaced genomic scaffold scaffold1379, whole genome shotgun sequence.